UACGACGGGUGCAAGCGUUACUCGGAAUUACUGGGCGUAAAGCGUGCGUAGGCGGUUUGUUAAGUCUGUCGUGAAAGCCCUGGGCUCAACCUGGGAAUUGCGAUGGAUACUGGCAAGCUAGAGUACGGUAGAGGAUGGUGGAAUUCCCGGUGUAGCGGUGAAAUGCGUAGAGAUCGGGAGGAACACCCGUGGCGAAGGCGGCCAUCUGGACCAGUACUGACGCUGAGGCACGAAAGCGUGGGGAGCAAACAGG
rnacentral:rRNA from 1 species